rnacentral:rRNA from 1 species
GUGCCAGCAGCCGCGGUAAUACGUAGGGUGCAAGCGUUAAUCGGAAUUACUGGGCGUAAAGCGUGCGCAGGCGGUUUUGUAAGUCUGUCGUGAAAGCCCCGGGCUCAACCUGGGAAUUGCGAUGGAGACUGCAAGGCUUGAAUCUGGCAGAGGGGGGUAGAAUUCCACGUGUAGCAGUGAAGUGCGUAGAGAUGUGGAGGAACACCGAUGGCGAAGGCAGCCCCCUGGGUCAAGAUUGACGCUCAUGCACGAAAGCGUGGGGAGCAAACAGGAUUAGAUAC